rnacentral:sRNA from 1 species
GCUGGGUACAGUGGCACAUGCCUGUGAUCCCAGUGGCUUGGGAGGCUGAGGCAGGAGGAUCAUGAGUUCAAAGCCAGCCUCAGCAACUUAGUGAGGCCUUAAGCAACUGAGUGAAACCCUGUCUCUG